rnacentral:rRNA from 1 species
AUUGAACGCUGGCGGCAUGCUUUACACAUGCAAGUCGAACGGUAACAGGCCGCAAGGUGCUGACGAGUGGCGAACGGGUGAGUAAUGCAUCGGAACGUGCCCAGUCGUGGGGGAUAACGCAGCGAAAGCUGCGCUAAUACCGCAUACGAUCUAUGGGUGAAAGCGGGGGACCGUAAGGCCUCGCGCGAUUGGAGCGGCCGAUGUCAGAUUAGGUAGUUGGUGGGGUAAAGGCUCACCAAGCCAACGAUCUGUAGCUGGUCUGAGAGGACGACCAGCCACACUGGGACUGAGACACGGCCCAGACUCCUACGGGAGGCAGCAGUGGGGAAUUUUGGACAAUGGGCGCAAGCCUGAUCCAGCAAUGCCGCGUGCAGGAAGAAGGCCUUCGGGUUGUAAACUGCUUUUGUACGGAACGAAACGGUCCUGGUUAAUACCUGGGGCUAAUGACGGUACCGUAAGAAUAAGCACCGGCUAACUACGUGCCAGCCGCCGCGGUAACAC